rnacentral:ncRNA from 2 species
UAUAAUAGUUGUGGGUGCUUAAAGAAUUAGGCUGAGAUAGUUUCUGAUACUGAAACGGACCACACUUGAUCUAGGUAAUGCUAGCGUAAGGAUUUUUUUAAUAUACAAA